rnacentral:rRNA from 1 species
GGAGUCUAGCAUGUGCGCGAGUCAUUGGGACUCGAGCGAAACCUAAAGGCGAAAUGAAAGUGAACGUCCGCCUUAGCGCGGACGUAGGGAGGAUGGGUCGUGCGCGCGUUUUCGGCGGCGGCCCCGCACUCCCGGGGCGUCUCGUUCUCAUAGCGAGAAGAGGCGCAUCUAGAGCGUACACGCUGGGACCCGAAAGAUGGUGAACUAUGCCUGGUCAGGACGAAGUCAGGGGAAACCCUGAUGGAGGUCCGUAGCGAUUCUGACGUGCAAAUCGAUCGUCGGAACUGGGUAUAGGGGCGAAAGACUAAUCGAACCAUCUAGUAGCUGGUUCCCUCCGAAGUUUCCCUCAGGAUAGCUGGCGCUCGCUUUCGCGAGUCUCAUCCGGUAAAGCGAAUGAUUAGAGGCAUUGGGGUCGAAACGGCCUCAACCUAUUCUCAAACUUUAAAUGGGUGAGAACUCCGGCUUGCUCGAACUAGAAGCCGCGAGUUAUGUUUUGCACGUUUGCAAUUUGUUGUUGACGUUGUUGAUCACGGAUCAGAGUGCCAAGUGGGCCACUUUUGGUAAGCAGAACUGGCGCUGUGGGAUGAACCAAACGCAGAGUUAAAGCGCCUAAAUCGACGCUCAUGGGAUACCAUGAAAGGCGUUGGUAACUUAAGACAGCAGGACGGUGGCCAUGGAA